UACGUAGGGACCGAGCGUUGUCCGGAUUCAUUGGGCGUAAAGAGCUCGUAGGCGGCCACUCAAGUCGAAUGUGAAACCUCGAGGCUUAACCUCGAGCCUGCAUUCGAUACUGGGCGGCUAGAGUCUGGUAGGGGGAUCUGGAAUUCCUGGGUGUAGCGGUGGAAUGCGCAGAUAUCAGGAGGAACACCGGUGGCGAAGGCGGGAUCCUGGGCCAGUACUGACGCUGAGGAGCGAAAGCGUGGGGAGCAAACAGG
rnacentral:rRNA from 1 species